ACCUUAACAAAAUAAAUUAAAACAUUCAGUUUACACUCAAAAUUCAAAUGAAUAGGUAAUAAAUUUAAUUUCUUAGAUCUUACAGUUUCCAUUAUAAACAACAAAUUUGAUUUUAGUAUUUACAGGAAACCUACACAAACUGAUGCUAUAAUACCUCGUGAUUCUAAUCACUCUUAUCCUCAAAAAAUAUAAUUUUUUAAUUCUAUAGGCUUGAACGUAUUCCAUUAAAUUAACAUAAUU